rnacentral:rRNA from 1 species
AUUGAACGCUGGCGGCAUGCCUUACACAUGCAAGUCGAACGGUAGAGUAGCAAUACUUGAGAGUGGCGAACGGGUGAGUAAUAUAUCGGAACGUGCCCAGUCGUGGGGGAUAACGUAGCGAAAGCUACGCUAAUACCGCAUACGAUCUAUGGAUGAAAGCGGGGGAUCGCAAGACCUCGCGCGAUUGGAGCGGCCGAUAUCAGAUUAGGUAGUUGGUGAGGUAAAGGCUCACCAAGCCGACGAUCUGUAGCUGGUCUGAGAGGACGACCAGCCACACUGGGACUGAGACACGGCCCAGACUCCUACGGGAGGCAGCAGUGGGGAAUUUUGGACAAUGGGCGCAAGCCUGAUCCAGCAAUGCCGCGUGCAGGAUGAAGGCCUCGGUUGUAAACGUGCUUUGUUACGGUACGAAACGGU